rnacentral:lncRNA from 1 species
GCCUGGUGUGCAAAGGGCCUGCCUACCCUGAGCGGAAGCAGACACCAGAAGACUUCAAUAUGCAGGGUUGCUCCAGGAUAGCCAACUCCUAGUGUGACUCUUGCCAUUACUUGCACUUCCUGGCACAGUUUCAGAAAGAGAAAAGGUGAGAAGGCAAUUCUAUUCUGGAAAGACACGCUGUGCUACAACUUAAAAAGGAAUUCGCUUUAUCGCUUUACCUAUGUUUUAAUCGUAGGGGUCCGUGUAGGAAAUUGUAUCAGAGAGAAAGGAUCAGACAGACUCUUGGUCCUGAAGGGCAGAAGAUGUAUUUCCUUG